rnacentral:rRNA from 1 species
UACGGAGAGUGCAAACGUUGUUCGGAUUCACUGGGCGUAAAGCGCGCGUAGGCGGCUUUGCAAGUCGGGUGUGAAAUCCCCAGGCUUAACCUGGGAACUGCAUUCGAGACUGCAUUGCUAGAGUAUGGGAGAGGGAAGUGGAAUUUCCGGUGUAGCGGUGAAAUGCGUAGAUAUCGGAAGGAACAUCAGUGGCGAAAGCGACUUCCUGGACCAAUACUGACGCUCAUGUGCGAAAGCGUGGGGAGCAAACAGG